GCCUUGGUGGUGUAGUGGUUAGCGUGUGCCUCCUGAAAGAGUGAGACGCGGGUUCAACUCCCAACCGAGUUCCAAAGCU